UACAGAGGGUGCGAGCGUUAAUCGGAAUUACUGGGCGUAAAGCGCACGUAGUCGGCUUUGCAAGUCGGGUGUGAAAUCCCCGGGCUCAACCUGGGAACUGCAUCCGAGACUGCAUUGCUAGAGUAUGGGAGAGGGAAGCGGAAUUUCUGGUGUAGCAGUGAAAUGCGCAGAUAUUAGGAAGAACACCGGUGGCGAAGGCGGCUCUCUGGAACGGUA
rnacentral:rRNA from 1 species